CCCUAGCCUAUUGCUGUAGACAGUCAGAAGUUGGUCUGGCGUGAGCUUAGAUUCUCAGAUCAUCUUUUUGCUGUGCUCAGCACUCAGGA